UAUCUGGUUGAUCCUGCCAGCGGUGAUAUGCUCAGAUAAAAGAUUAAGCCAUGCAUGUCUAAGAACAUACUAGCUCAAAGUGAAUCUGCGAACGGCUCAUUACAACAGCUAUAACCUAAUCGGACUACCGUAAGGUGGAUAACUGCGAUAAUUUUGGAGCUAAUACGUGCAUGAGAGCGCUGAUCGUAAGUGACGCGCGCAUUUGUUAGAAUAAGACCAACAUGGGCUUGCCCGUGUUGGCGAAACUCUGAACAACUUCGCAGAUCGCAGGCUUCGGCCGGCGACAUUCCGAUCGGGUUUCUGCCUUAUCAACUAUUGAUGGGAGUCCAAGUGACUGCCAUGGUGUUGACGGGUAACGGAGAAUAAGGGUUCGACUCCGGAGAGGGAGCCUGAGAAACGGCUACCACAUCCAAGGAAGGCAGCAGGCGCGUAAAUUACCCACUCUUAAUACGAGGAGGUAGUGACUAUCAAUAACGAGGCAAGACUCUUUGAGUCUUGCUAUUGGAAUGGGAACAAUGUAAACCCUUUAUCGAGAACCUAUGAGAGGGCAAGUCUGGUGCCAGCAGCCGCGGUAAUUCCAGCUCUCAAGGCGUAUAUCGUCAUUGCUGCGGUUAAAAAGCUCGUAGUUGGAUCUGAGUUCAGUCUAUGGUGCCGUAUGGUCAACUGUAGUCUGUCUCGACGUCGGUUUGCGCGGUUCGCCGUGCUUGCUGGCUUGAUUACCUUGAAUAACUCAGGUUGUUCAUAAAAGGCUUUUGCCUAUAUGAUUUUGCAUGGAAUAAUGGAAUAAGACUCCGGUCUGUUUUGUUGGUCUUAAGACCGUUGUAAUGAUUAAAAGGGAUUGACGGGGACAUCCGUAUCGAUGCGCGAGAGGUGAAAUUCUUGGACCGCAUCGGGACGUCCUACUGCGAAAGCAUUUGUCAAGAAUGUCUUCAUUAAUCAAGAACGAAAGUCAGAGGAUCGAAGGCGAUUAGAUACCGCCCUAGUUCUGACCGUAAACGCUACCAACUAGUGAUCAGGCGGUGGCAUUCUUUGCCCUGCCUGGGAGCUUCCCGGAAACGAAAGUCUUCGGGUUCCGGGGGUAGUAUGGUUGCAAAGCUGAAACUUAAAGGAAUUGACGGAAGGGCACCACCAGGAGUGGAGCCUGCGGCUUAAUUUGACUCAACACGGGAAAUCUCACCCGGCCCGGACACUGUUAUGAUAGACAGAUUGAGAGUUUUUUCUUGAUUCGGUGGUUGGUGGUGCAUGGCCGUUCUUAGUUCGUGGAUUGAUUUGUCUGCUUUAUUGCGAUAACGAACGAGACCGCAACCUCUAAAUAGUUGUCUGAUAACUUUGUCAGUUCAACUUCUUAGUGGGAUAAGUGGCUAUAAGUCACACGAUAAGCGGCAAUAACAGGUCUGUGAUGCCCUUCGAUGUCCGGGGCCGCACGCGCGCUACACUGGUAAGAUCAGCGCGUCCUUCCUUAGCUGAAAAGCUUGGGUAAACUAUUGAAAACUUACCAUGAUUGGGAUAGGGCAUUGAAAUUAUUGCCCUUCAACGAGGAAUUCCCAGUAAACUUGAGUCAUCAGCUCAAAUUGAUUACGUCCCUGCCCUUUGUACACACCGCCCGUCGCUGCCCGGGACUGAGUUGCUUCGAGAAUUGCGAGGACUGACGCUGCGGGGCCUCACGGCUCUACGGUGUUGGAAAUCGCUGUAAUCGCAGUGGCUUGAACCGGGCAAAAGUCGUAACAAGGUGCGAUUAGGAGAACCUGACCGCGGAUCAUUG
rfam:Strigamia maritima strain Brora ctg7180001229879, whole genome shotgun sequence.